CCCUCAGGCCAAGACUGAGAACUUUGCUUUCCUGCUGUUUGAAUCCGAGCCCAAUCAAUCCCUGAAGCCAGUUCUUCCCUAAAGAUCUGUUUUAAGGAAGUUACUGUGAAUGCACCGUCAAACAACGACUUGCCCAGGUGCAUUCCCUGAGACAUGUGGGGACAAUGACUCAAGGCUGUGUGGUGGCCCAGAAGCUGAACCCUUCUAUUUGCCUCCUCCCAGCUUACUUACCUACUAGCCAGUCUCAGCAUGUCUUUUUCUGAUAAUGCCACUUGCUUUGCCCAACCCCCAUCCUUGGACCAAGGGCCACACGUUUGGCCGUACCUGUUCUGACAGAGCCUCCCUGAACUGCAGUGGGAUGUUGGACUCAGACGCUUAUUCUAAUAAGGAGAGCAAAUCUAUGCACAGUGGUCUUCUGGGUGACAAAUAGAGGCUUUGUGCGUGAGAGGCCUAGGCCUGGGGCUUUGGCUAGCGAGGACCCUCCUGAUCUCUGUCUUUUUUCCUCCAGGCCAGAUGGGAGAUCUCACGAGCUGGUCUAAGGAAAAGGAAGAUGGAAGCAAAACACAAGAAAACCUAGCAGACGCCAGAGAGGAAAAUUGCAGGGUUUGAGGGUGAAGCAGACUUCAGUGUUGGGCUGCUCCUACCCCUGAGGCCAGGUGUUGGGGCAGGCUUCCCUACCGGGGUGUCCAGAACCUUCCCUGCAUCCCGGGCCUGGCACAGAUGCCAGCACUGUGGAGUCAGGGAUGCUGAAGGGAUGAAUGACAGUGGCCACACACCUGCAGUAAGAAGAACCUGUUGGAAGCAGGAUUUUUGCAGCUGUCUCAGAGCAUGCUCACAUCUUUGCUGUCAACCAUCUUUUGGGAGGGUUUCAUUGUUGUUUGUUUCUGUAUUUGCUGCUUUCUCCAGACCAGCAUCCCUUCACCCUUUCUGUGAAACCAGGUAGUUCAGAUGGGACUGAUUCCAACCCGGAGGGCUCCUGCCUAGCUAGUCAGAGCACUGCAUCCUCCUGGCAGUGCAUCCUCCUCCAGUGAUUAGAGAAGGCAGACAUGUGACCCACACUGGACCAAUGAGAAUCACCCCCAGGACCUUGGCUAGGGAUUGAGGAGGGGCUUACUGGUAGGAAUAUCAGCUUGGAGAUACCAGCAGAUGCCACAUGGAGGAUGAGGUCGGCAAAGAACAAAGCUGAGCUGAGCAAGGGAGAUAGAUUCUUGAGGACAGCAUGCAAACACCCAGAUCCAGCCGUGCCUGAGGCUAGGUACGUCCCUGGGCUGUCCAGACGCCUGUAUCCAAGAAUUUCUUUUUUCUCCUGGCAGUUUGAAUUGUGUUUCACUUGCCACUGAAUAUCUUUCUGUCAUAUGAUCCUCUGGUGGAGCCAAGACCGCAGCCACCAUUUCUGAAUGAGAAAGAAGUGUGAGCCUUUGGGGUGCUGGGUCACACUGGACCCAGUCUACAAGUGUCUCUCAUAGUCUCUGGCAGGGGCUCCUACCUCCUCUGUCUCUCUUCUGGCCUCCUGCUCUGGCCUUCCUGACUAGUGGGUCUAUGGCCACCCAGCCCACAGAUUACCUUGACUGUGUGUUCUCUGGGCUUGUGCCCUCUGGGUCUGUCUUGUCUAUAACUCUAUCCUCAGGGCCUAGCAUAGAUGCUCUCAGCAAACAUUGGUGGAAAGAAUUAAUGGGUCAUCGAAGCUCCUGUGGCCUGCUGGGGUGUGGAGGUGGGGGUUUCAGUAAAUCAGGAGCCCCAGAGCUUCCUGUCUCCCACCAUGCCGCCUGCCUUCGGCAUGCAUGGCAGCCUCUUGCCCCCACUGUUACUGACUACCUUACCUGAGGCCUUAUGUCAAACCCUCCACCAUUUCCCCACACUGUCUCGUGGAUGGCAAUAUGGCCAGUCUUGGGUAGUUGGGUGAGGGAUGAAUUUUCACUCUAACUCCCUGCCUUGGACCUCCCUGCCCCACCCCAAAGGCUCGGACACCCCAGAAACACUUCCAAGAGCACACCCCGAGGGGCCAUGACUGCUCCCCACCAGCGCGCCAGAAGGGACGAGUGAGAGUGUCCAGGAGGGGAGGGCUUGCUGCCGCACACAGGCUGCAUGCCUCCUGAAACGUGCAGCAGCACAUCUUCCCAGAGAAAAAGGGAGGCCCAGAAUUACAAGCUUUGUUAUUUUUACUUUUUGGUGUGAGGGGCCAUCUGUGCAGGUUUGAGCUUGUCUGGAGGAAACCACGAUUUGUAGAUGAAAUUCAAAAGUAGGAUUUCUUUGCAGGCUGUCAGGCGGAGACUUUCUCCAGGAGCUGGGGCGGCAGUGCUGAUAUUUGUAUAGCAUCAGAGUGUGCCAGAGUCCAGCAGCUGCUCGGGCUGAGUGAGCACAUGGGGCCCUCCAGCAGAGCAUCAGCAAGCCCUCAGCAAUGGUCUUCUCAGCGUGGGCUCCACUGAGGGUGCCAGGAGGGGCCUGGGUCACCAGCUGUGAGAAUUGGCCCCCACUGCCUGGGAGGAGGGGUCCUGGAGGGUAGAAAGUCAGGUGCGGGGAGGAGGUUGGCAGUGCUGGAGCGUGGGAGCGGGAGCAGCUCUGGCCCCUCCAUUGUCACUAUCAGUUCCUCUCAAACUACCUCACCAAACAUGCAGUUGCAGACCCGUCCUCAGGAUAUGCCAAUGCCCCCACCUUCAGCUGCAGGUCACCCUCAAGCCCCCAGCGUGGAAAUUCCACAACUGCCUUGUCCAAGGAGACAUUGUUUAUCGCCUGCACGCUUUCCUUGGGCCUCUUUCCUGGGUCAGAUGCGCAGCAGCCCAUUACGGGGCAGCACAGGAAGGAGAAGGAGAGAAGGACACUGAGGUUUAUUACCCUGAAGACUGGAAACGCUUCGAGGCCAUUGCUCACAACUCCUCCCGGUUUCCGAGGUGAAAGGAUGACAACAGAGAAACAAAAGGAUGAAAUCAUUAGUGUCAAUCGGGCACAUUCAGCGUAGAAUACUGACGUACCACUGUUGUG